CCCUACGGGAGGCAGCAGUGGGGAAUAUUGGACAAUGGGCGAAAGCCUGAUCCAGCAAUGCCGCGUGAGUGAAGAAGGCCCUAGGGUUGUAAAACUCUUUCAGUCGUGACGAUGAUGACGGUAGCGACAGAAGAAGCUCCGGCUAACUCCGUGCCAGCAGCCGCGGUAAU
rnacentral:rRNA from 1 species